rnacentral:rRNA from 1 species
UACGGGGGGGGCAAGCGUUGUUCGGAAUUACUGGGCGUAAAGGGCUCGUAGGCGGCCAACUAAGUCGGACGUGAAAUCCCCAGGCUCAACCUGGGAACUGCGUCCGAUACUGGUUGGCUUGAAUCCGGGAGAGGGAUGCGGAAUUCCAGGUGUAGCGGUGAAAUGCGUAGAUAUCUGGAGGAACACCGGUGGCGAAGGCGGCAUCCUGGACCGGCAUUGACGCUGAGGCGCGAAAGCCAGGGGAGCAAACGGG